ACUCACACCAACGCAGGUGUUACCCCCCAUACGGGAGGCAUUGCGUGAUUCCAGGGCUACCGCCGCUAUUGGAGCUGGAAUUACCGCGGCUGCUGGCACCAGACUUGCCCUCCAAUGGGUCCUUGGUAAAUGAUUUAAAAUGGACG